AACGAACGCUGGCGGCAUGCCUAACACAUGCAAGUCGAGCGGCAGCGCGGGGCAACCUGGCGGCGAGCGGCGAACGGGUGAGGAACACAUCGGAACGUACCCGAGAGUGGGGGAUAACGCCGCGAAAGCGGCGCUAAUACCGCAUAUUCUCUUUGGAGGAAGGUGGGGGACCGCAAGGCCUCACGCUCACGGAGCGGCCGAUGUCCGAGUAGCUAGUUGGUGGGGUAAAGGCUUACCAAGGCGACGAUCGGUAGCUGGUCUGAGAGGAUGAUCAGCCACACUGGGACUGAGACACGGCCCAGACUCCUACGGGAGGCAGCAGUGGGGAAUUUUGGACAAUGGGGGCAACCCUGAUCCAGCCAUGCCGCGUGCGGGAAGAAGGCCUUCGGGUUGUAAACCGCUUUUAGCCGGGAAGAAAAGGCGAUUCCUAAUAGGGGUCGUUCUUGACGGUACCGGCGGAAUAAGCACCGGCUAACUACGUGCCAGCAGCCGCAGUAA
rnacentral:rRNA from 1 species